GCUGGGUGUGGUGGUGCACGCUUGUAAUCCCAGUUACUCAGGAGGCUGAGGCAGGAGAAUUGCUUGAACCCGGGAGGUGGAAGUUGCAGUGAGCCCAGAUUAUGCCACUGCACUCCAGCCCGGGCAAUAGAGCAAGACUCUGUCUCAG
ensembl:misc_RNA Metazoa_SRP Metazoan signal recognition particle RNA